UGGAUUCCUGUAAACAUGAACU
rnacentral:miRNA from 1 species